AUGCAGCUGCGCGCAGGCAGCAAAGCUCACACACGUACUAAGGUCGAAGUCUCUAUACCGUCUUGGUUAAGGGCACGAUUUUCACUUGCCUGCACUUUCGCCCCGACUCAGCAUAUCUGCUUUCUCCGCCCCCCACUGGAGUGGGAAGUAUUUGUUAGCGCUCUUCUGUGCGGCUCCUUUGGGUGUGUAUGCCGCGGGAGGCCGCUGCGGGGCGCUCCCCGCUGGGUAGAGCAGAGCAGAGCGGGCGCCGCGCCGGAGCUGGGGCAGCGUCGGGCUGUGUCCGGGCGUAGCUGUAGGAUCCCUGGAUCGAAGGGGUGGUUGCAAGCUUCCUUAAGGUCAGCGGUAUUACGGUUAUUGUGGCUGAUCAGUCGUGCUGGCGUUCACGGAAAACAGCUGAUCAUGGUAACAGCUGGUCCUGCACCUUUGUGAAGUCUGCACAAAGUGCGUUUAUUUCAGUGUCAUCUGGAGAGGGAUAGGGCCCUUCAAGUCAGGUGUAGCAUAGCUUGACUGCACCCCAAGUGAGUAGGAGUUGAAGGGGAAAGUAGUGAUUGGAGGAAGAGUAGGAAUUCAUGGAGAAGUUGCUUUACAAGAUGUGUCAAGAACAGUGAAUUCUGGUUGAAUGUGUGGUUUGGGUCACUUGCAGGAUAAAGAGGCAUUGUAUGCUUGUGAGACAGUUCUUGUUGUGUAGGACUUGAGCACUGUGAUAAAUGGGCAGCCUCCACCGAGAGUCUGCUUGCUUUGAGUCUUUAGAUUCUUCUCUUUGUUAGUUUUUUAAAUCUUGCGUACUGACAGGUGUUAUUUGGAUGUCAGUGAAGGAGAUUAUCUUGGUUUAUGUGGUUAGACUGUGUGGUUUUUGUUUGGUAACUUUCAGAAUUAUCACUCUGAGUAAGUCAGGCUGGUUAAAUGUGGCGCUUGUUCUUUAUCAUCAUCCUUACUUCUUUGUCUUUAUAGAUUUGUGUAUACUGUGAGAAAAAAAGAGUUACAAGUCCUUCCUUUCUUCCUCCUUUCCCACUGAUGGAGUCUUCUUUGACCAAGGGGCAAUGCAGUGCUGCCUUUAAGUUACUCUGAUUUCAGAAAACAGACCAUGUGAUGACAAAAGUAUGGUGUAGGUUUGAAUAAUACUAAGUGUCCAAUUAAAUCAAGGGAAAUUAGACAUUUCAAUUCUAAAAGAGUUGUGAGAAAACAAUUUUUUAUUCAUUUCUAAGAUGAUAUGGUUCUGAAAUUCUGUAAGUCGUUAAAAGAUUUUAAGCUUUUUUUUAAAAGUUAUUUUUGUGGAUUAUUCUGUAACUGAAAUAUAUUAGGGUUCCUCAAUGUCUGUUAUAAAUUAGUGGUGCUUACAAGUUCUUGUCUGAUGUGGUGUUGUGGUAGUUUCAGUACAGCAUGUAAAUAUGGAACUAAUAUGACACGUAUUGAACAUUAUAAUCCAUAA
rnacentral:lncRNA from 1 species